rnacentral:misc_RNA from 1 species
GAUGAAGAACGUAGCGAAAUGCGAUACUUGGUGUGAAUUGCAGAAUCCCGUGAACCAUCGAGUUUUUGAACGCAAGUUGCGCCCGAAGCCGUUAGGCCGAGGGCACGCCUGCCUGGGUGUCACACAUCGUUGCCCCAAUGCCAAUCACCUCACUUUGUAGGUAUUUGCUUGGGGUGAAUGUUGGCCUCCCGUGAGCUUUGUCUCACGGUUGGUUGAAAAUCGAGUGCAUGGUGUCGGGUGUACCAUGAUGGAUGGUGGUUGAGUGAUGAUGCUCGGUGACCCACAUGCGUCCCUUGGAUGCUCCCUAAGGAGACCUCAGGUCAGGCGGGGCUACCCACUGAGUUUAAGCAUAUCAAUAAGCGGAGGA